rnacentral:rRNA from 1 species
CCUACGGGAGGCUGCAGUGAGGAAUAUUGGUCAAUGGACGAGAGUCUGAACCAGCCAAGUAGCGUGAAGGAUGACUGCCCUAUGGGUUGUAAACUUCUUUUAUAUGGGAAUAAAAUGUUGCACGUGUGGGAUUUUGUAUGUACCAUAUGAAUAAGGAUCGGCUAACUCCGUGCCAGCAGCCGCGGUAAUACGGAGGAUCCGAGCGUUAUCCGGAUUUAUUGGGUUUAAAGGGAGCGUAGGUGGAUUGUUAAGUCAGUUGUGAAAGUUUGCGGCUCAACCGUAAAAUUGCAGUUGAAACUGGCAGUCUUGAGUACAGUAGAGGUAGGCGGAAUUCGUGGUGUAGCGGUGAAAUGCUUAGAUAUCACGAAGAACUCCGAUUGCGAAGGCAGUUCACUGGACUGCAACUGACAUUGAGGCUCGAAAGUGUGGGUAUCAAACAGGAUUAGAUACCCUUGUAGUC